UGGGGAAUAUUGGACAAUGGACCAAAAGUCUGAUCCAGCAAUUCUGUGUGCACGAUGACGUUUUUCGGAAUGUAAAGUGCUUUCAGUUGGGAAGAAAAAGAUGACGGUACCAAAAGAAGAAGUGACGGCUAAAUACGUGCCAGCAGCCGCGGUAAUACGUAUGUCACAAGCGUUAUCCGGAUUUAUUGGGCGUAAAGCGCGUCUAGGUGGUUAUGUAAGUCUGAUGUGAAAAUGCAGGGCUCAACUCUGUAUUGCGUUGGAAACUGCAUGACUAGAGUACUGGAGAGGUAAGCGGAACUACAAGUGUAGAGGUGAAAUUCGUAGAUAUUUGUAGGAAUGCCGAUGGGGAAGCCAGCUUACUGGACAGAUACUGACGCUAAAGCGCGAAAGCGUGGGUAGCAAACAGGAUUAGAUACCCUGGUAGUCCACGCCGUAAACGAUGAUUACUAGGUGUUGGGGGUCGAACCUCAGCGCCCAAGCUAACGCGAUAAGUAAUCCGCCUGGGGAGUACGUACGCAAGUAUG
rnacentral:rRNA from 1 species